UCAAGUGCUGCUCGGAUUAGACCCCUAGCCUGGGGACUUCAUAUGCCACAGGUGCAGCCCUAAAAAGACAAAAAAAGAAAACGAGACAAAGCAAAAACAAAGUUGGUUAACAAUUCUCAAAAGACCUAUUUUUCUCAAAACUCAAUGUCCUUUCAUACUCAUUCCUUUAGAAAAGAGCGAUUUGGGGACAAUACCAAAAAAGUCCUCACGUAUAAAUUAAGAAUUGAGCUGGAAAUAGUUUCUCUGAUUUUUCCAGCUCUGAAAUGCUAUAAAUCUCUAAGAUGGAAGGCUCUGAACUUCAUUGCGUGCCUAACACAAGCCUGGCACUGUUCUUGCCAUGGGGAUACAGCAGCAAACAAAAACAGACAAAAUCCCUACCGUCAUACAACUUAACAUUUCUAGUGAGAGAGGACACAAGAUAAGCAAAUAAAAUAUACAUUAAAUUAAAUAGUAGUACGUGCAAAGGAGAAAUGAAAGAAGGGGAAAGAGGAAAAAACAAAAGUAAAAAUUGCAAGAAACAGUUUUUAACACCGUGCUGAAACAGGAUAAAAACUGAGAACCUGCGCUGUCAGAAAGACCUUGGCACUUCUGAAUUCCCAAGCCGGCAAUACCUAGUGCGCAUGCGCAUUGGGGUGUCAGGGACGAAAGCGUGUUCUUGGUGGGAAGGCUCAGAAGCGCAUGCUCGCGGGCUCGCGCGUGCAUGAACCUCGCGCGCACGAGCCUCGCGCACCAACGUGCGCGCGUCUGGCGUCUGAGGCGGUUGGCAAUUAUUUCCAGUCUGAAAGGGAUCCAGUGCCUGGCAUUCUUACCGGCUUUCUGCCUGCCAUGAUCAAGUGCUUGUCAGUUGAAGUACAAGCCAGAUUGCGUUCUGGUUUGGCUAUAUGCUCCUUAGGUCAGUGUGUUGAGGAGCUUGCCCUCAACAGUAUCGAUGCAGAAGCAAAAUGUGUGGCUGUCAGGGUGAACAUGGAAACCUUUCAAGUUCAAGUGAUAGACAAUGGAAUUGGAAUGGGGAGUGAAGAUGUAGACAAGGUGGGAAAUCGUUAUUUCACUAGUAAAUGCAACUCCAUACAGGACUUGGAGAACCCAAGGUUUUAUGGUUUCCGAGGGGAGGCCUUGGCCAGUAUCGCUGACAUGGCCAGUGCUGUGGAAAUUUCAUCCAGGAGAAACAAGUCAAUGAAAACUUUUGUGAAACUGUUUCAAAAUGGAAAAGCCCUAAAAGCUUGUGAAGCUGACUUGACUAGGCCAAGUGCUGGGACAACAGUUACAGUAUAUAACCUAUUUUAUCAGUUACCUGUAAGGAGGAAAUGCAUGGAUCCUAGACUGGAAUUUGAGAAGGUUAGGCAGAGGGUAGAAGCACUCUCACUCAUGCACCCUUCCGUUUCUUUCUCUUUGAGAAAUGAUGUUUCUGGUUCCAUGGUUCUUCAGCUCCCUAAAACUAAAGACAUAUGUUCCCGAUUUUGUCAAAUUUAUGGACUAGGUAAGUCCCAAAAGUUAAGAGAGAUCAAUUUUAAAUAUAAGGAGUUUGAGCUUAAUGGCUUUAUUAGCGCUGAAGCACAUUAUAAUAAGAAUAUGCAGUUUUUGUUUGUGAACAAGAGGCUCAUUUUAAGGACAAAGUUGCAUAAACUCAUUGACUUUUUACUAAGGAAAGAAAGUAUUAUAUGCAAGCCAAAGAACGGCUCUGCCAGUAGGCAAAUGAAUUGUGGUCCUCGGCCUCGGCCUAACCCAGAACUCCAUGGUAUAUAUGUCAUUAAUAUGCAGUGCCAGUUUUGUGAGUAUGACGUGUGCCUGGAACCGGCAAAAACACUGAUUGAGUUUCAGAACUGGGAUACUCUUUUGGUUUGCAUUCAAGAAGGAGUAAAAAUGUUUUUAAAGAAAGAAAAAUUAUUUGUGGAAUUAUCAAAUGAGGACAUAAAGGAAUUUAGUGAAGAUAAUGAUUUUAGUUUAUUUAGCACCACUCUUCAGAAGCAAGUGUCCUCUGAUGAGAAGUAUGACCAGGUCAAUUUCCAGGAAGCAUGUAAUAAUAUUUUGGAUUCAUAUGAAAUGUUUAAUUUGCAAUCAAAAGCUGUGAAAAGAAAAGCUACUGUAGAAAACAUAAACACACAGAAUUCUAGGGAUUCAGAAGCUAUCAGAAAAAAGACAAAUGAUUCAUUUUUGUAUACUUUUGAAUCCAGUGGACUAGCCCAUAGUAAAAUGACAGAGUCAUCUUUACAAAAUGAAGAUAGUGCUUGCUCAGAGUCAAGGAUCUUAGAACAAGAGACAGUUGAAGCAUCAGAACCAGGAGAGAAUGAGAAAGAUAAAAAAUCUUGCUUGGAACUUAACUCUUCAGAAAAUCCAUGUGGAACCAGUUCAGAAAUGUUUGCAAGCCCUUUUCAAACACAUCACUUUGAGCGGAGUGGAGACAACUCAGAAAUACAGAAAGUAAGUACUACUGCGAAUGACACAAAUGCCAACAUCCUGAAAAGUAAUAGAAUUCAGAAUCAACUAGAGAGAUUUAAAGAUGCUACUGAAAUGGAAUGCCAGCCUCUGCCUUUUGAGACAUUAUUGGGAGCAAAUGGCACUCCGAGAAAGGAAGAGGAAAGAAAAAAAGAACCUAGUAAUUGUGGACGGAUAAAUGUUUUUAGUUACGGACAAGUUAACUUAUGUUCCACUGGCUUCAUAACUCACGUGGUACAAAAUGAGCAAACUAAAUCAACCAAAACAGAGCAUUUAUUUAAGAACCGUGUUCAACCUGGUCCUGUGAGUGCCAAAGAAACAUUUGGAAGUAGAACAUGUCAUUCAGUUGAGAUUCCAAACAUUAAAGACUUAACCAGCACUUUAAGUAAAGAAUUUGCUCAGCUGCCCAACAAAAAAUUAUGUAGAGCAAAUAUAAGUCAUGGGCUAGAGAAUAAACCUAUAGCAACUUAUAAAAAAUUUUCCGUUUUCCAGGAAGGUAGUAAAAAACCACACACAGGUUGCUUAUUACCUGACACGUCAUCUUUCUCUUGGGGUAGACAAGUUUCGAAUAGUAGUAAGAGAACAGAUAAAUUGAUUGGAUCCACCAAACCUAUAGCUCAUAAGAAGCUAAGCUUAAGUUCACAACUAGGAUCUUUAGAGAAGUUUAAGAGGCAAUAUGGGAAAGUUAAAAAUCCUCUGAGUACAGAAGUAGAGGAAAAUAAUACUUUAGAAAUCACUACCAAUCUCAGUCCCCAGGGUGAACCUGACAUUCCAUGGAAAGACGAAAACCACUUAGAUAACUCUGGUAUUUGUAAAAUCACUACCUUGAAACAUAAUGAUUCAAGGAGUAGUUGUCAACCAGCAAGUCACAUGUUUUAUUCAGAAAAGUUUCCAUUCUCCAAGGAAGAAGACUGUUUGGAACAACAGAUGCCUUGCUUAAGAGAGAGCCCUAUAACUCUAAAUGAGUUAUCUCAUUUUAACAGAAAGCCUUUGGAUGGUGAGAAGUCACCUGAAUCACUAGCCUCUAAAUUAUCCAGAUUGAAGGGUUCUGAAAGAGAGACUCAAACAAUGGAGAUGAUGGGUCAUUGUGACGAAUGUCCACAGUCAGGUUCCAGUAGGCAAGACAGUGGCUUGUACAGUGCGUUAACCCUAGAUUCUGGUAAGUUAUUUAAAAAUGAACAUGAAAAACCAGAAAGUGGCAUCCAGCCAAUGUCAAACUCUAUCACACAGAGUAGUCCCUUCAAUAAAGACAGUGAGAUGCAUUCUAACAACAGUACCACAGAGCCCUCUGUGAUGUCAGAAACGCCUUUGGUAUUGCCCUCUGACAAUUCUACAGUUAUCAGUAAGGAUGCAGAUGUUCUUAGAGCUUCAGAACAACAGAUUGGAAGUCUCGACUCUCCAAAGAGAAUGUUAAUGAGUCAUGUAGAAGAUUCCACAGCUGACCAAAGUGGAACUUGUGUUCAGAGUGAGGAAUCUUUAGCAAAAACUGAUUGUGAAAAUGAAGACUCCAACCCGUGUUCUUUGGAUUGGCAGCAACAUUUCGAUGGCGCCUUGGGAAGAAUGGUUUACAUCAACAAGCUCACCGGACUGAGCACAUUCGUUGCUCCUACUGAGGACGUUCGGGCUGCUUGUACUAAAGACCUGACAACUAUGGCUGUGGAUGUUCUACUUGAGAAUGAUACUGGGGGUGAUGCUUUUGGUCACGAAUCACUUCAGUCUUUGUUCUCAGAAUGGGAAAAUCCAGUAUUUGCCCGUUAUCCAGAGGUUGCUGUUGACGUAAGCAGUGGCCAGGCUGAGAGCCUAGCAGUUAAAAUUCACAACAUCUUGUAUCCUUAUCGUUUUACCAAAGAAAUGAUUCAUUCAAUGCAGGUUCUCCAGCAAGUGGAUAACAAGUUUAUUGCCUGUUUAAUGAGCACUAAGACUGAAGAGGAUGGUGAAGCAGGUAAGAAUGGAGCCUCAAUAAUCAGCUGGUCUUCUGCAAGCUUCCUUUUAAGGUUAUUUAUUUUUUUUAUAAAUACAAUUUCAAUGAUUUUUACAGAUUAGGGAAAACCAAUCUAAAUUAAUAUUAUGAAACAACAGUUUUUAAUUUACAUUUAGUUUUGGAGUUCCCUUGUGGCUCAGCAGGUUAAGAAUCUGGUGUUGUCACAGCUGUGGUGCAGCUUCAGUCCUCGGCCCAGGAACUUCUGUAUGCCAUGGAUGCAGCCGGUGGAAACCUGCUAGUCUUAGUGGACCAGCACGCCGCCCAUGAGCGCAUCCGCCUGGAGCAGCUGAUUGCUGAUUCCUAUGAGAAGCAACAGGCACAAGGCUCUGGUCGGAAAAAAUUAUUGUCUUCCACUGUAAAUCCUCCGCUAGAGAUACCAGUGACUGAGGAACAAAGGAGACUCUUACGGUGUUACCACAAAAAUCUGGAAGAUCUGGGCCUUGAAAUUAUAUUUCCAGACACUAGCGAUCGUCUGGUCCUUGUAGGAAAAGUUCCACUCUGUUUUGUAGAAAGAGAAGCCAAUGAACUUCGAAGAGGAAGAUCUACUGUGACCAAGAGCAUUGUGGAGGAAUUUAUUCGAGAACAAGUGGAGCUACUCCAGACCACAGGAGGCAUCCAAGGUACUUUGCCACUGACUGUCCAGAAGGUGUUGGCAUCCCAAGCCUGCCAUGGGGCCAUUAAGUUUAAUGACAGUCUGAGCCUAGAGGAGAGCUGUCGCCUUAUUGAAGCUCUGUCCUGGUGCCAGCUGCCAUUCCAGUGUGCUCAUGGCAGGCCCUCCAUGCUACCGUUAGCUGACGUUGACCACCUGGAGCAAGAAAAGCAGAUUAAACCCAAUCUUGCUAAACUUCGCAGAAUGACCCAGGCCUGGCAUCUCUUUGGAAAAGCAGAAGGAUCUGAUACAAGGCAAAGCCUGCAGGCAUCCCUGCCUCCUUGUGAGCCUCCAUGAGAAUAGAUUGUUGUCGUUAAGGAACCAAAGGGAUGUUGACUGAAGGCCUCUGAGCAGAGAGCCUGAGCUGCAGGCACCACCCAGGCCCUGUGCACCCAUCCCCAUAGCCGGCUGCUCUCAUGACCCCUUAAGUUGAGUAACCAGAUGGAAUCCAAGCCUCAAGACAGUUGGCAUCCAUGGACACUGGAGGUUGCUCUACUUUUUGUAGCUUACUUGGGGAUAAAAUUUAAUGAUUAA